UACAGAGGGUGCAAGCGUUGUUCGGAAUUAUUGGGCGUAAAGCGCGUGUAGGCGGCAUGGCAAGUCGGGUGUGAAAGCCCUCAGCUUAACUGAGGAAGUGCGCCCGAAACUGCCGUGCUUGAGUGCCGGAGAGGGUGGCGGAAUUCCCCAAGUAGAGGUGAAAUUCGUAGAUAUGGGGAGGAACACCGGUGGCGAAGGCGGCCACCUGGACGGUAACUGACGCUGGAGACGCGAAAGCGUGGGGAGCAAACAGG
rnacentral:rRNA from 1 species